CCCUUAGAUGUUCUGGGCCGCACGCGCGCUACACUGAUGGGUUCAACGGGUCUUUUCGCUGCUCGCAGCGAGUUGCUUUGCCGGAAGGCAUGGCUAAUCCUUUCAACGCUCAUCGUGCUGGGGCUAGAUUUUUGCAAUUAUUAAUCUCCAACGAGGAAUUCCUAGUAAACGCAAGUCAUCAGCUUGCAUUGAAUACGUCCCUGCCCUUUGUACACACCGCCCGUCGCACCUACCGAUUGAACGGUCCGAUGAAACCAUGGGAUGACCUUUUGAGCGUUUAUUCGCGAUGGAGGUCAGAACUCGGGUGAAUCUUAUUGUUUAGAGGAAGGUGAAGUCGUAACAAGGUUU
rnacentral:rRNA from 1 species